UACGUAUGGUGCAAGCGUUAUCCGGAUUUACUGGGCGUAAAGGGAGCGCAGGCGGUGCGCCAAUUCUGAUGUGAAACCCCGGGGCUCAACCCCGGGCAUGCAUUGGAAACUGGCGGGCUGGAGUGCCGGAGAGGUAAGCGGAAUUCCUAGUGUAGCGGUGAAAUGCGUAGAUAUUAGGAGGAACACCAGUGGCGAAGGCGGCUUACUGGACGGCAACUGACGCUGAGGCUCGAAAGCGUGGGGAGCAAACAGG
rnacentral:rRNA from 1 species